rnacentral:lncRNA from 1 species
GUUGAGAGUGAGAAUAGUCUAAUACUUCCACCUGUUGUGAUUUCAGAAAAGCUUAUUUAAGUGUGAUUCUACUCAUAAUUUAUUUAGACAUGUGAGCGACAUAACUGUUGCAUAACUUGCAUUGGUGUGAAACCUUGUUUUAGUGAUGUGUCAACUUCUCAUUCUUUAGUUAAUGUCUGAAAUGAAGUGGUUGGUAAAGGUCUCUAAAGGUUGGUGACGUGCGUUUGGAGGCCAUGUUAAGUUAGAGAACAGUGGAUUCCCAAAGGAAAAUUUUCAUUUUCUAUUGUCUUGCUUAAGCUUUCGCCUUUUGGAUUUGAGAAACUCAAAGCUAUUUACUGAACAUAAACUAUAUCUACAUGGAAGGUUUAAAGCAUGGGUGUGAAUCCUUGAUGUUAAUACAUAAUUAAUCAUUAUGCAUUAUCAACGGUCAACAUAUCCAAAUUGCCAGAUUGCUUGAUGCAUUUUUUGUUUCACGAAGUUUCCUCUUUUCUUUAUUUUAAUUUCAUGUCCAGAAAUUUUUUUUUUAAGUCGUCGCAUAAAACUCAUCCAUGUAUAUGCAUACCUAAUGAUGGCAUGCUCUCACGUCAUAGAAUACUUUUAAUUGAACGAUCGAGCAACCAUCUUCCAAAAUUUUCAUCUGGUUUGGUGAUAAUGAAGACAAACAGACAAAGAACACAAGUUCUUGUGUAAUUAUGGACUUCAUUAAAGUAUAUAUGAUAUGAGUUGGCAUGUUAUAUCUUCAAUUGCAGAAGGGAGCAAGACACUCGUGUGGUGUCUCUGCUAGGUGUGCUGAUGGAGUCCCAUAAAUCUGCACCAGCAUCUACAUCACAUUUUGUGUUGGUGGCGUCGACUCACAGGUAUAUUUUGACUUGUUGUAUUACACGCCCCUAGUAUACACUUUCACUUUUUAAAAAUUUUUAAACGACACAAGUGGCCUCUCUCGCUCACCAAGAAUUUAUCGUAAAUGGAAAAAAAAAGUGAAGAGAGAUGAGACAAGUAGAAUUUUUAGCAAAAAGCAAAGUGCUAUUGAAGUGUAUAAUGUAUUUACAUUGUAUAAGUUUUCAUGUCAUUUCAAAAGUUUCCAUCAUACUUAUGAAAGGUAUGAUGGGUGCGGAUAGCUUGUCCUUUGUAUCUUGAUUGAAUAUUUUGUUCGUGUUUACUCUUAUGGCAACAAAUAUGACAUUUGUCUUUUAGUGUUCUGAACUACAGAUUAUGAUAGGAAGUAAACUUUUUCUAUUAACUGGAGGAAAAUUGGUCCACGUUCUCAAAAGACAUUAAUAGGUUCUGGAAUUGACCCACAUUUUGACUUUCUAAUUUGCUUAUCCCAAGUGUUACUCAUCUGUGAAUUCAUUAAUCGCAGUUUUGAUUUUAAGAAUAGCAU